AUACGGGAGGCAGCAGUGGGGAAUUUUCCACAAUGGGCGAAAGCCUGAUGGAGCAAUACCGCGUGAAGGAUGAAGGAUCGUGGUCCGUAAACUUCUUUUCUUAACGAAGAAAAUCUGACGGUAGUUAAGGAAUAAGCACCGGCUAACUCCGUGCCAGCAGCCGCGGUAAUACGGGGGGUGCAAGCGUUGUCCGGAAUGAUUGGGCGUAAAGCAUCUGUAGGUGGUUUUUAAAGUCGACUGUUAAAGCCCAGGGCUCAACUUUGGAUAAGCGGUCGAGUACUUAAGGACUUGAGUAUGGUAGGGGUAGAGGGAAUUCCUAGUGGAGCGGUGAAAUGCACAGAGAUUAGGAAGAACACCGAGGGCGAAAGCACUCUACUGGGCCAUGACUGACACUGAGAGAUGAAAGUUGGGGGAGCGAAAAGGAUUAGAUACCCCGGUAGC
rnacentral:rRNA from 1 species